rnacentral:lncRNA from 1 species
AACUACAUUGACGCUAGGACAUAAAAGAAAAUAAUAAUUCUUUAUAGCAGCAUUGGGCAACAUACAAAAAUAAAAAAUUAUUAUAUUGUUUCUAAUUUAGCAUUGGUGUAACAUUGGCUUAGUUGACACUGUUUGACAUUAUAUUGAAAAGGUAGAAUAUGAAUGUUUUGAGUCAUCUUAGUACCUGCCUUAGUCAUCCCAGUAUCUGCUAAUUCACAAUUCAAGGUGUCCAUUUAGAAUUCAAAUUGCAAACAACAAAUAAUUAAAUCACACUGUUACUUGAAAACUAAUUAAAGGAUCAAAUUACAAUGCAGGCACACACAAUUACCAAAUUUUAAUACAAUUUAAUCUCGAAAAUUUAAAGUAAAUGGAUAUAGUUUUUGUGUUAAUGUGGCAAAUGGCACUCCGAGUUGGUGUUUGGGUUAUAAAACUAUAUCCAUUCAUGUAGUCAUAAGUGUCACACCAAUUUUCUCUGUCCAAACCAAUCAUGUAGUCGUAAGAUGAAGUGUAGAGAGAACGAUGGAGUACCCCUAGUGUAGAAAGAAGGUGAACAUGAAGUUACUAGUUUAGUGGUGGAAGGCAUUGAUUUUUGUGAGGUCAUAAGAGGAAGAUGAAGAUGAUGAAUGGCCUUAAGGAUGGAGAUGAAUGCAGAGGAAGAUAGAGUUUUCAUGAAAAUAAGAUUUUUUAUAAAUAAAUUAUUUUUUCUAAUUAAAGAAAAAAAUCUUUAUUUCCUUUCUUAUUUUUCCUCUACUCAAAACAAGCACACAUGAUAAUAGAAUCCAAAAAAAAAAAAUUACUAUUAUUCACUAUAAUAUCAUAAAAUAAUCAUAAAAAGCUAACAUUAAAUGUCAGAUUAAAUAGCAUGAAUGAAGUAAUUAAAGUAAUCUCUUAGACAAGUUGUAGACUUGUCUUCUCCUAGAUACAAAAUAGCAUACUAACAUAGGCCAUGCUACUUGUAUUGUGUAGUAUCACUUGCAUACUGAGAAAUUGUGAAUGCAAGUCAAGCAAAAAAUCAUCUAAAAGUAAAUAA